GACGAACCGUGCGAACGUUGUUCGGAUUCACUGGGCUUAAAGGGCGCGUAGGCGGCUUGCCAAGUCAGGGGUGAAAUCUUUCGGCUCAACCGGAAAAGUGCUUCUGAUACUGGCGGACUGGAGGAGGGUAGGGGCAGAUGGAACUUCCGGUGGAGCGGUGAAAUGCGUAGAUAUCGGAAGGAACGCCGGUGGCGAAAGCGAUCUGCUGGACCCUUUCUGACGCUGAGGCGCGAAAGCCAGGGGAGCAAACGGG
rnacentral:rRNA from 1 species